rnacentral:rRNA from 1 species
GCACAGAAGAGCUUGCUCUUUGGGUGACGGGUGGCGGACGGGUGAGUAAUGUCUGGGGAUCUGCCCGGCAGACGUGGAUAACUACUGGAAACGGUAGCUAAUACCGCAUAACCUCGCAAGAGCAAAGAGGGGGACCUUCGGGCCUCUCGCUGUCGGAUGAACCCAGAUGGGAUUAGCUAGUAGGUGAGGUAACGGCUCACCCAGGCGACGAUCCCUAGCUGGUCUGAGAGGAUGACCAGCCACACUGGAACUGAGACACGGUCCAGACUCCUACGGGAGGCAGCAGUGGGGAAUAUUGCACAAUGGGCGCAAGCCUGAUGCAGCCAUGCCGCGUGUAUGAAGAAGGCCUUCGGGUUG